rnacentral:RNase_P_RNA from 12 species
GGAGGGAAGCUCAGUGCUGAGGCUACAGACAGAGUGCUGGGGGUCACUCAGUGAGUGUGACUCAGGGAAGGUCUGAGAUUUAGAGCCCCUUGCUGCUCUCACAGGGCAUCACUUGGANNAAGUGAGUGGUACUCAGGAAAGCUUGGCUCUGAUUGGCCAGUGAGUGCAAAAGAUGCAGUGAGUGCUCCUGGGUUGAGCUCCUGUAGGAUGCAAAGGCAUCAGGCUUGGCACUGCCCACAGCUGGCACAUUCAAGCUCAAUGGCUGAGAGGGAACUGCCNCAACCCAAUUCAGACUACUUUUUUUCCACAUUUC